AUAGACGAUAAUCAAGUGAAACGAAUAGUUAAACAAUGACUUAUUAAGGAACAGUUUGCUUCCAGGGAAUGUGACAGAGAAACAACAGUUCGAUUGAUUAUAAUUUCAUACUCGACGAUCAAAGUGUCGAAAAAUUUUCUUCCCAUAUUUUGCGACUCAUUACUUCGUGGAAACGACACAUCAUUCAAAAGAAGCGCUUGGUUUGUUUUAAACGCUUUCAGCUGUUGAUUGUUUUGUCAAUUUCAAAGCUUUUACCCAAACAAUCAGACUAAUUGAAUUAGUUAAUUUCCAAUGAAUUAUUAUCAUGUUAUUGAACGAUUUACCGGAUGAUUGCCUUUGGUUGAUCUUCGACAACUUCUCGGGUUUAGAAGAUUUGAUUAGAUUGUCUCAAGUUUGUUCGAAAUGGUCCAACUUAGUUUCAAUAAGAUUCAAAAGAGUCAAAUAUCUCGUCACCAGUGAGCCUAUUGAUCACAUCAACAAUUCCAAAAUAUGGACGAGGGAUCCAAUAGAUACUCUAAAACAUCACAAUUUAC